rnacentral:misc_RNA from 1 species
GGAGUCAAGUCCUUCCUACUCAAAAACCAGAGAAGGUUCAUCAUCCGGCUGUGACUCAACAACACCCCUUUUUCUCAUUGAUAAACAACAUCCCCUUUCGAAGGAACAAAUAAGGGAAACACGCACCAGAAGACAAUCAAAAUGACUCAGAUUACUCACUUGCAGCUUCAGAUUGUAGGCUUAUCACUCUGGCAGCAAACCUAAUAUCAUCUGUAGCUAGUAAUCACAAUAGCGUAUUUUUGGAUUCCCCAAAACCACAUUGUUGAUGAAAAGAGCUCAACAAUCCAGAACUGAAAUAGUUUGUAAAGUAGAACCCAAACUUCCAGUACUCUACUUGACAAAUUUGUGCAGUAUGAUCAAGGCACUAGGGCUGGUGUAGUCGGGCUCAGCCAGAGCCAUCAAAAGGAAUAUACUGCAACAUCA